AGUGCAAGCCACAACAUGGACUGAAAACCUUUUAACGGAGUACGUCUGUCAUCAGAAUACGACCAAGGAAGUCCUGAAUAUGAAAAAGAUCACGGCAUUCUUUCCGAAGAGACCAACACUGGGUCCACCAGGAAGGUCAUCAGAGGGAGAGCAGCAUAAAGAGAGAGAGAGGGCGAGCAGCACACAAAGGAUGGGGAAGAGAGAAGCGGAAGUCAGCUGGUCAUCACAGGGCUAGUGGAUUUGACCCUGCAUGGAUCAAAAGCCAUAGCUGGCUUCUGAACACACCGGAUGGGAUGUUUUUGUGAAAAAGCCCAGCAGAAAUUUUAGGCUUGACACAGUGAGCAGUCACAAAAAUUCAGAGACACAUAUCGAAGCCAUUAAGA